rnacentral:rRNA from 1 species
UACGUAGGUGGCAAGCGUUGUCCGGAUUUAUUGGGUUUAAAGGGUGCGUAGGCGGCCAUUUAAGUCUGGGGUGAAAGCCCGUUGCUCAACAACGGAACUGCCCUGGAAACUGGAUGGCUUGAGUACAGACGAGGGUGGCGGAAUGGAUGCUGUAGCGGUGAAAUGCAUAGAUAGCAUCCAGAACCCCGAUUGCGAAGCAGCUGCCUAGACUGUAACUGACGCUGAGGCACGAAAGCGUGGGGAGCGAACAGG